rnacentral:lncRNA from 1 species
UUUAAUAUGAACACUGAUCAACAAAAUCCAUUAAAAAAUACAAAAGAAAAUCUUCCACCUAAGCUAAACAUGAACAUAAAGAUCAUGCAGAACUGAUUAAAGAAAUCCAUUAAAAAAUUUUCCCUGGCUCAGCUCUCUGCAGAACUGAUUAAAGAAAUCUUGGUACUAUUUCAAUCAUGCAGGUCCUUUAAAAAAUAAAAGAAGAA